AACGAACGCUGGCGGCAUGCCUAACACAUGCAAGUCGAACGAGACCUUCGGGUCUAGUGGCGCACGGGUGCGUAACGCGUGGGAACCUGCCCUUAGGUUCGGCAUAACUCCCCGAAAGGGGUGCUAAUACCGGAUAAUGUCUUCGGACCAAAGAUUUAUCGCCUUUGGAUGGGCCCGCGUUGGAUUAGCUAGUUGGUAGGGUAAAAGCCUACCAAGGCGACGAUCCAUAGCUGGUCUGAGAGGAUGAUCAGCUACACUGGGACUGAGACACGGCCCAGACUCCUACGGGAGGCAGCAGUGGGGAAUAUUGGACAAUGGGCGAAAGCCUGAUCCAGCAAUGCCGCGUGAGUGAUGAAGGCCUUAGGGUUGUAAAGCUCUUUUACCCGGGAUGAUAAUGACAGUACCGGGAGAAUAAGCUCCGGCUAACUCCGUG
rnacentral:rRNA from 1 species